UGAAGUAAAAGCCAAAUUACAAAUCAGUGAGAGGAGAACAAACUUUCUUGGUGGACGACUAACCGAUUCUAACUGAAAGUGUUGCUGGUUUGACGUUGUCGGCUCAGGCGGUUGGCAAUCUUCUCAAGAGAUGACGUCCAGACAGGAGGGUUGGUUGUGCAACCUUUGGGAAGGUCAAAACCUCAUUGAGCUGCUGUUUUGGUCUGACGUUUAAAUACAUUAAUCUGUGCGUGAA